UAAUACGGAGGGUGCGAGCGUUGUCCGGAAUCACUGGGCGUAAAGGGCGCGUAGGCGGCGCGGUUAGCGUGCGGUGAAAGCUCGGGGCUCAACCCCGAGUCGGCCGUGCGAACUGCCGCGCUCGAGCACUGUAGAGGCAGGUGGAAUUCCGGGUGUAGCGGUGGAAUGCGUAGAGAUCCGGAAGAACACCGGUGGCGAAGGCGGCCUGCUGGGCAGUAGCUGACGCUGAGGCGCGACAGCGUGGGGAGCAAACAGGAUUAGAUACCCUGGUAGUCCACGCCGUAAACGAUGGGCACUAGGUGCUUGGGGGAGCGACCCCCUGAGUGCCGGCGCUAACGCAUUAAGUGCCCCGCCUGGGGAGUACGGCCGCAAGGCUG
rnacentral:rRNA from 1 species